rnacentral:tRNA from 1 species
CGUAGGUCUUAUAGUCUAGUGGUUAGGACAGCGGUUUUUGAAGUUACCUGUUUGGGCGAACAAAUUAAUUACCGUUAGCCCCGGUUCGAACCCGGGUAAGACCUCG